GACGAACGCUGGCGGCGUGCUUAACACAUGCAAGUCGAACGGAAAGGCCCCUUUGGGGGUACUCGAGUGGCGCACGGGUGAGUAACACGUGAGUAACCUGCCCUUGACUUCGGGAUAACUUCAGGAAACUGGGGCUAAUACCGGAUAGGAAUCCUUGCUGCAUGGUGGGGGUUGGAAAGCUUCGGCGGUUUUGGAUGGACUCGCGGCUUAUCAGCUUGUUGGUGGGGUAGUGGCUUACCAAGGCUUUGACGGGUAGCCGGCCUGAGAGGGCGACCGGCCACAUUGGGACUGCGAGACGGCCCAGACUCCUACGGGAGGCAGCAGUGGGGAAUAUUGCACAAUGGGCGGAAGCCUGAUGCAGCAACGCCGCGUGCGGGAUGACGGCCUUCGGGUUGGAAACCGCUUUCAGCAGGGGCGAAGCUUGUGGUGACGGUACCUGCAGAAGAAGCACCGGCUAACUACGUG
rnacentral:rRNA from 1 species